UCUCACCCUUCCGACCGCCCGAUCCUUUCUUCCGAGCCUCUCUCCCCACCAUCCCCAGCCCACAUACCUGGUCUUUUGCUGCCCGUCGUCACCGCCACCCCGGCAGCCGGGCAAGCAUCACCGUCGCCAUCUUGGAAGCGGGCGCGGGGGGCGGGGCCUCGGGCGGAGCCGCCCAGACGGACGGAGCGCAGGGUCCCAGCGCCGCGUGGCCUGGGGACCCGGGCCGUAGCGCCGCCCCGGCCGGCCGGGGUCUGCUGCGGUGGCCGAGACUUACCAAGAGGCCAGUGGGACAGCUCCUGGGGCGUCCGGUGACCUCACUAUCACCCCGGGGUAAGCUGAGCCCCUCUCCCAGCGUGUCAAAGGCGCCCCCUGCAGCCUAGUGCCACUUAGUAUCAAAAUUGUUUCUCACACAGGCUACAGCGUUGCAGACCGCUCUAGAGCAUUUUUGUAUUCCCAUAGAAAUGGUUAGUUAAUAAAACAAUGAAACAUUAAAUGUGGAGGGAAAGGCAGCGUCUGCUUUAAUGUAAAAAUCUGUUUCCCAUAUAUACAAUAUGUUUAUUUUGUGGCUUCCACUAUCCUCUGGCAUACUGCUUCUUAGAAGCAGAUGUUCAUGCUGAGGAAACAAUAAGAGACUUGAAUAACUCACAGAAUCUGCCUCAAAAAGCUCAUGGUCUUGUGUGCGUGUAUUGGGGGAGGGAGAGAUGUAAACAAUAUGGCAUGAUAAAUAUGCUAGCCCAAAAAUGGUACCUCUCGUUCACACGUGGAGAUUCCCGAAAGGCUUUCCAGAAGUGAUGGCUAGUGGGGAACCUGAAGGACUUGUCUAUGGCAUAUCCUUCCGCUUUAAAGAUUCUGUUUUCAUGGGACUUACUUUACAACUCAGUGUGGGUAACUGAUCCGUAUGCAAAUUCUGCCCUGUCUGGUGGAAAUUCAGUUAACCUGCUACUCCCCAUAUUGUGGGGGGAAAAUAGUUUUGGCUUCCAUUUUCAUAAUCAUUUCUGUAUUUCUUUUCUUUUCUUUUUCUUUUUUUUUCCCCUGUGCCAGGACAGCAUAUAUUUAACUGUUCUAUUCUUAUCUGUCAAAUAAAUUAUUUUAUUGAGACAACAGUUAACUUUCAACUUGAAUCUAGUUUUUAAGAAAGGAUGGAUAUCUGAGCUGAGAGAACCCAAAGAAGAGACACGGAAGUAACCGCCACUAUGGGCCCUGCUCCAUCUGCUGGGGCCUUGCUCCUCUGGUGGCACAACACGGCGUGGAGGGGAGCCUGCCAUGCUCUCCACUUACUGGGUGACCUUGGCAAGUCAUCCGGCCUCUCUGGACCUCAGUUUCCUCCACUAUAAAAUGGGGGGGGGGAAUACCCAUCCGUUAGGGUUAAACAAAAAUAGUGGUGCAAGAAACUUAGUAAAAGCUCAAUAAACAGGGCCGUUAUCACUAUAUUCCUGGGUCAAAGUUUCCCUGGAUCCAAAUGGCUGUUCAGGCUCCUUGCAAACCAAUGACCUCCCCCAAUCUUCCUUUCAAUCUCUGGAUGAGAAGUGGAGGGGGCAGAGAGGAGUGACUAGGGCUGAGAGCAAGAGAGAAAGCCCCUAAAGCAGGAGGAGUGAGGGCAAGGAGAAGAGGGCCCAGGGCAGAACCGGGGUUUUGGCGUGGAGGAUUGGGUCCAAGGUGAGGUGUGGUGGGGGUCGAGGGCGGGGGUCCAGGCCCGGGACAGGAGAAGGCCGGGCUGGCACCCGCAGCAGCCACCCACAGUCCAGGCCACGUCGUCCCCCUCAUGUCCCCUCAGGCAAAGUGCCUCCUGGCUGCAGAGGGUGGAGGCUGUCAGGUCCCACCCCCGACGUGCCCAGUUACCGGAGCCGUUGGAGCUGAUGGUGCAGGUGAACCUCCCGAAGGGGCUGAUGACCUGGCAGCCCCUCCACGACUUGAUGUUCUCCACCAGCAGAAGCUCCAAACAGCCCAUGGCUGCACCCUCGGCGCCUCAGCAGCGUCCUCACACACCAGCAAGAAAAAGCGCCCAUUUCUGUAUUCCUGAUCUGUAAAUGUGUCUGUUCUCUAGAUUUUCUCUUGUACCAGUUUUAACAUCUGCCAGUUCCUUUAUGAGGUAAAUAAAAUCAACAUGUGUUCAUUUUUAUAUGGGUAUUGACAAAGACUCUCCCCUUAACCAAACUUUAAAUAGACUCCUCUGAGCCCUCUUUAUGACUAGGUUUUGUCCUUGGGCCCUGUGUGGGGCCGGCCUAGCCAGUUUUAGCCAGGAUCCUGCCAAGUCAGUUUAAGGGGAAUCCCCAUCCCCAUCCUUGAUAUCUGAUCAUCCUCACCUGCCUUCAGCAACAAUCCUGUUAAGUCGGUUUAGCAAGAAUCCCCCCCCUUCAUGUAAUUUUCCAUCUAUCCACUGACUCCCUCAUUCUGCUCAUUGGCCAUUUUUUCUUUGUUUUUUCUUUUUUUCACCCAAAAGUCACUAUGCAAACUGAGUCAUUGACUAUUAAUCCCUACUUGUCCGUGCUGUAUUGGAAUUUGAGCCCAAUCUCUCUGUCUCCCUUUUUGGGAUAGACUUUUCACCUAUCAUAAUAGUCCUUAAUAAAGUCUUCCUUACUGUUUUAA